CGUGGGAGUCCCUUCGCUGCUCAGCAUGCUUGGUAGAGAACAUGAACUCAAGGGUGGUCAAACUGGGAGUGUCCAUGAUGCUUUGCCAAUAUCAAGGUGGAGAGGGCACCUGUAGUUGGAGCACAGAUGGCUCUUCUACUGGCUGCAGCUCAAGCCCCACCCCCUUUUCCAGCACAUAAACAUCCAGUCUCACUGAAUAUCCACCGGGAAGGGAGUUUUGCGCACACACGCUGGCAAAGACUAGCAACAUUGCUGAAAGGGAGCCUAAGAUUAGAGGAUCUUGGAGGAAAGUGACCAUGAACCUCAUCCCAAGCUUUUCCACAGAGACCUGGGUUCUACUGGCUACCAGCCUGGUGCUGCUCUAUCUAUAUGGGACCUCUACACAUAGACUUUUUAAAAAGCUGGGAAUCCCUGGGCCAACACCUCUGCCUUUUAUUGGAACUUUUCUGGGCUACCGUAAGGGUGUAUGGGAUUUUGACAAGAAAUGUUUUAAAAAGUAUGGAAAUAUCUGGGGGU